UNCCACAGUUCUUACUACUUCCAUUUCAGGG
rnacentral:piRNA from 1 species